GACAGAGGGGCCGAGCGUUAGGCGGAAUCACUGGGCUUAAAGCGUGUGUAGGCGGGCGCCUAAGUAACUUGUGAAAUCCCACGGCUCAACCGUGGAACUGCCUUAGAUACUGACGGCCUCGAGGGAGAUAGGGGCGAGCGGAACUGUGAGUGGAGCGGUGAAAUGCGUUGAUAUUCACAGGAACUCCGGUGGCGAAGGCGGCUCGCUGGAUCUUUUCUGACGCUGAGGCGCGAAAGCUAGGGGAGCGAACGGG
rnacentral:rRNA from 1 species